rnacentral:rRNA from 1 species
GACAGAGGGUGCAAACGUUGCUCGGAAUUACUGGGCGUAAAGCGCGUGUAGGUGGAUUGGUGUGUCAGAUGUGAAAGCCCUGGGCUUAACCCAGGAAUUGCAUUUGAAACUACCAGUCUUGAGUGGUGGAGAGGGAAGUGGAAUUCCUGGUGUAGAGGUGAAAUUCGUAGAUAUCAGGAGGAACACCAGUGGCGAAGGCGGCUUCCUGGACACCAACUGACGCUGAGACGCGAAAGCGUGGGGAGCAAACAGG